rnacentral:rRNA from 1 species
UUGCCGCUGGCGGCAGGCCUAAACAUGCAAGUCGAGCGGAUGACGGGAGCUUGCUCCUUGAUUCAGCGGCGGACGGGUGAGUAAUGCCUAGGAAUCUGCCUGGUAGUGGGGGACAACGUUUCGAAAGGAACGCUAAUACCGCAUACGUCCUACGGGAGAAAGCAGGGGACCUUCGGGCCUUGCGCUAUCAGAUGAGCCUAGGUCGGAUUAGCUUGUUGGUGAGGUAAUGGCUCACCAAGGCGACGAUCCGUAACUGGUCUGAGAGGAUGAUCAGUCACACUGGAACUGAGACACGGUCCAGACUCCUACGGGAGGCAGCAGUGGGGAAUAUUGGACAAUGGGCGAAAGCCUGAUCCAGCCAUGCCGCGUGUGUGAAGAAGGUCUUCGGAUUGUAAAGCACUUUAAGUUGGGAGGAAGGGCAGUAAGUUAAUACCUUGCUGUUUUGACGUUACCGACAGAAUAAGCACCGGCUAACUCUGUGCCAGCCGCCGCGGUAAAUACA